CGAGCGGAACGAUGAUAGCUUGCUAUCAGGCGUCGAGCGGCGGACGGGUGAGUAAUACUUAGGAAUCUACCUAGUAGUGGGGGAUAGCUCGGGGAAACUCGAAUUAAUACCGCAUACGACCUACGGGAGAAAGGGGGCAACUUGUUGCUCUCGCUAUUAGAUGAGCCUAAGUCGGAUUAGCUAGAUGGUGGGGUAAAGGCCUACCAUGGCGACGAUCUGUAGCUGGUCUGAGAGGAUGAUCAGCCACACCGGGACUGAGACACGGCCCGGACUCCUACGGGAGGCAGCAGUGGGGAAUAUUGGACAAUGGGGGCAACCCUGAUCCAGCCAUGCCGCGUGUGUGAAGAAGGCCUUUUGGUUGUAAAGCACUUUAAGCAGUGAAGAAGACUCCAUGGUUAAUACCCAUGGACGAUGACAUUAGCUGCAGAAUAAGCACCGGCUAACUCUGUGCCAGCAGCCGCGGUAAUACAGAGGGUGCAAGCGUUAAUCGGAAUUACUGGGCGUAAAGCGAGCGUAGGUGGCUUGAUAAGUCAGAUGUGAAAGCCCCGGGCUUAACCUGGGAACGGCAUCUGAUACUGUUAGGCUAGAGUAGGUGAGAGGAAGGUAGAAUUCCAGGUGUAGCGGUGAAAUGCGUAGAGAUCUGGAGGAAUACCGAUGGCGAAGGCAGCCUUCUGGCAUCAUACUGACACUGAGGUUCGAAAGCGUGGGUAGCAAACAGGAUUAGAUACCCUGGUAGUCCACGCCGUAAACGAUGUCUACUAGUCGUUGGGUCCCUUGAGGACUUAGUGACGCAGCUAACGCAAUAAGUAGACCGCCUGGGGAGUACGGCCGCAAGGUUAAAACUCAAAUGAAUUGACGGGGGCCCGCACAAGCGGUGGAGCAUGUGGUUUAAUUCGAUGCAACGCGAAGAACCUUACCUGGUCUUGACAUAUCUAGAAUCCUGCAGAGAUGCGGGAGUGCCUUCGGGAAUUAGAAUACAGGUGCUGCAUGGCUGUCGUCAGCUCGUGUCGUGAGAUGUUG
rnacentral:rRNA from 1 species